rnacentral:rRNA from 1 species
AGUGAACGCUGGCGGUAGGCCUAACACAUGCAAGUCGAACGGCAGCACAGUAAGAGCUUGCUCUUACGGGUGGCGAGUGGCGGACGGGUGGGGAAUACAUCGGAAUCUACUUUUUCGUGGGGGAUAACGUAGGGAAACUUACGCUAAUACCGCAUACGACCUACGGGUGAAAGCAGGGGAUCUUCGGACCUUGCGCGAUUGAAUGAGCCGAUGUCGGAUUAGCUAGUUGGCGGGGUAAAGGCCCACCAAGGCGACGAUCCGUAGCUGGUCUGAGAGGAUGAUCAGCCACACGGGAACUGAGACACGGUCCAGACUCCUACGGGAGGCAGCAGUGGGGAAUAUUGGACAAUGGGCGCAAGCCUGAUCCAGCCAUACCGCGUGGGUGAAGAAGGCCUUCGGGUUGUAAAGCCCUUUUGUUGGGAAAGAAAAGCAGCAGGUUAAUACCCCGCUGUUCUGACGGUACCCAAAGAAUAAGCACCGGCUAACUUCGUG